AUUGAACGCUGGCGGCAUGCCUUACACAUGCAAGUCGAACGGUAACAGGUCUUCGGAUGCUGACGAGUGGCGAACGGGUGAGUAAUACAUCGGAACGUGCCUAGUAGUGGGGGAUAACUACUCGAAAGAGUGGCUAAUACCGCAUGAGAUCUACGGAUGAAAGCAGGGGAUCGCAAGACCUUGUGCUACUAGAGCGGCCGAUGGCAGAUUAGGUAGUUGGUGGGAUAAAAGCUUACCAAGCCGACGAUCUGUAGCUGGUCUGAGAGGACGAUCAGCCACACUGGGACUGAGACACGGCCCAGACUCCUACGGGAGGCAGCAGUGGGGAAUUUUGGACAAUGGGCGCAAGCCUGAUCCAGCAAUGCCGCGUGCAGGAUGAAGGCCUUCGGGUUGCAAACUGCUUUUGUACGGAACGAAAAGCCUUGGGUUAAUACCCUGGGGUCAUGACGGUACCGUAAGAAUAAGCACCGGCUAACUACGUGCCAGCCGCCGCGGUAAAAC
rnacentral:rRNA from 1 species